AUUGAACGCUGGCGGCAUGCCUUACACAUGCAAGUCGAACGGCAGCACGGGAGCAAUCCUGGUGGCGAGUGGCGAACGGGUGAGUAAUAUAUCGGAACGUGCCCAGUCGUGGGGGAUAACGCAGCGAAAGCUGUGCUAAUACCGCAUACGAUCUCUGGAUGAAAGCGGGGGACCGUAAGGCCUCGCGCGAUUGGAGCGGCCGAUAUCAGAUUAGCUAGUUGGUGGGGUAAAGGCCCACCAAGGCGACGAUCUGUAGCUGGUCUGAGAGGACGACCAGCCACACUGGAACUGAGACACGGGCCAGACUGCUACGGGAGGAAGCAGUGGGGAAUUUUGGACAAUGGGCGCAAGCCUGAUCCAGCAAUGCCGCGUGCAGGAUGAAGGCCUUCGGGUUGUAAACUGCUUUUGUACGGAACGAAACGGCGAGCUCUAAUAAAGUUUGCUAAUGACGGUACCGUAAGAAUAAGCACCGGCUAACUACGUGCCAGCCGCCGCCGUAA
rnacentral:rRNA from 1 species